UUAUAUUUUUGUGUUAUUUAUUCCGAUGGAAGCGGGAAUCCUCCUUGGUCCUUCGUAGUCCCAAUCCAUGGAACCCCAGAGUGCCACUACGAUUGUCGUGCUAAGCCCUCUUUCCUGUGCUUCUUCUUUAGGGAUUCCUCUUCCUCCUCCUCUUCUUCUUCAAAUUCACAGGGACAUUACAAGGGGGUCAAAGCGUAGAAGGGAAAUUACGACAAUGACUCUGUCCGGAGUUUAUCGAUUUAUAUUGGAGGGGCGUCGCUCUUGGCUGUUCCCCUUAACCGCACUAUGUCGGGCAUUCCGGUUGCUGAUGCGAGCAGGUUAUGCAUUCAAGUACAAUUCUGAAUAACAAAGAUUUCACAGUCAAGAGCCUGAUCUUUUGACACUUGGAUUGGCUGUCACCACUAUCCUAACCUGUCUCAUAUGGCUGUCAAUCCAACCAAAGUCGAUAUAUGUGGUAAGUCCUGAAGGAGUUAAAUGCCAGAGAAUAUGCCCUCAUCUCCCUGAUUCUGUAGUUUUUUAAUUAAUGUGAUUGUUAAAUGGAAGAUGCUGCAUACAGAGAGACAGUGUAAUCUCUACGAUGCUAAGUUUCAAAAGGAGGAGUUUGGUUCAAGUUAGUUCAAAAUAUAAAAUGGAUGUCUCAAUUUUACAUUAUAGUUCAGUGCCACUAGCCCCAAUUCCUAUUUCUUUAAUAUAAUGGUAGAAUUGUUUAUUAAAUUGGGAGUUAAUCUAAAUAAAAUAUCAUUUGCAAAUAUACAGAAUAGUUAUGCCCUGGUGGUGGUUGUCAAGGAGAGAGGGGAAGAAACCUUUGUUAUAAUUGGCACGUAUAGAAACUAUUCAGUCUGCUUAAUUUUUGCUUUUCAUUGCUCAUUCUCAAGAUGUGGGAAUCUCUGUCAGAUGUGUCAUGCUGCAGGACACUAGUUGUUUACGACAGACAUUGUAUCCUUCAAGUUGGUUUCACAGCUAAAUCUUUUAUUGGUGAUGAUGAGGCUGUGGCUGUGAAUGCCAAAAAACUAAUGCAAGGAUAACUCAAGCAGAAUCUUAUGAAAUCUGGAGCUUAGAGCUACCUGGGCAACCUAUCUCUUUAUCCUGGGAAGUCUAAGCUGCCAUUUCUGCCUUCAAAUACGCAGUAAUUCUGCAGCCACUUGGAAAGAAAGGAAUUGCAAUUGUUGGUGGUGACACAAUUAGGGGUUUUACUACUUCUGGUCAGGUGCUUCUCUCUUAGAUUACUAAUUUUGAACUCUGGUAAUUCAUCAUUGAUUGAGGAGGGUUAAACCGUGUAGCUGCUUUCUUCCUUUGAUUUUUCAUUCCUUUGUCUCGAAUUGUUAAUUCUAGCUAUCAGAGGAUGCUUGGCGUGAUAGAUGUUGGGUAUUAGUGUCAUUCAACUGUAUACAGUUUUUCAUUAUCUUAAACAUCUCUUUGAUAUCAAAAUUUUAAACUCCGGUAAAUUGUUCUAUGUACCACAGAUUUGUAGUCUGAAAGUUAGCAACUUAUAUAUUUGACAAUCCUUUUCCCUUGCUUCAUGUCUGGAAGGUGGUGCCUAUAACAGAAUAGCUUGCGUGGAACAUCAGCGGCAAACAGAGAUUCAGUUCAACAUCAAAUCCCUAAGCUUGAACAUAGGUUUAAAAUUAUUUUUCAAUUGUGGCUUAUUGCAUGGCUAACUUUAUCCCAAAUGUGAUAGAUAUAAAUGGUUUCCUCCUGAAAGGGAAAGGGAAAUUAAGACUCAUAUCCACAUUAAGUUAAUUGUCCCUCAAUUUCAAGGGUUUGUGAUCACCAGCUCUAAUUUUGCUCCAGCUAUCUAGUAGUUAGAACAUAAGAUUGGUUGGGUUAUUCUUCUUAUCCUCACCUUCUAAAUCACUACAAAA